UACGGGGGGGGCAAGCGUUGUUCGGAAUUACUGGGCGUAAAGGGCUCGUAGGCGGCCAACUAAGUCAUACGUGAAAUCCCUCGGCUUAACCGGGGAACUGCGUCUGAUACUGGAGGGCUAGAGUGCGGGAGAGGAGAGUGGAAUUCCCGGUGUAGCGGUGAAAUGCGCAGAUAUCGGGAAGAACACCCGUGGCGAAGGCGGCUCUCUGGAACGCAACUGACGCUGAGACGCGAAAGCGUGGGGAGCAAACAGG
rnacentral:rRNA from 1 species